rnacentral:piRNA from 1 species
UCAUAGGACAUGCUCAUUCACUCUUG